rnacentral:rRNA from 1 species
UACGGGGGGGGGCAAGCGUUGUUCGGAAUUACUGGGCGUAAAGGGCUCGUAGGUGGCCAACUAAGUCAGACGUGAAAUCCCUCGGCUUAACCUGGGAACUGCAUCCGAUACUGGAUGGCUUGAAUUCGGGAGAGGGAUGCAGAAUUCCAGGUGUAGCGGUGAAAUGCGUAGAUAUCUGGAGGAAUACCGGUGGCGAAGGCGGCAUCCUGGACCGACAUUGACGCUGAACGGCGAAAGCUAGGGGAGCAAACGGG